rnacentral:rRNA from 1 species
AUACGUAGGGGGCGAGCGUUGUCCGGAAUGAUUGGGCGUAAAGGGCGCGUAGGCGGCCCGGUAAGUCUGGAGUGAAAGUCCUGUUUUUAAGAUGGGAAUUGCUUUGGAUACUGUCGGGCUUGAGUGCAGGAGAGGUAAGUGGAAUUCCCAGUGUAGCGGUGAAAUGCGUAGAGAUUGGGAGGAACACCAGUGGCGAAGGCGACUUACUGGACUGUAACUGACGCUGAGGCGCGAAAGUGUGGGGAGCAAACAGGAUUAGAUACCCUGGUAGUCCACACUGUAAACGAUGAAUGCUAGGUGUAGGGGGUAUCGACCCCUUCCGUGCCGCAGUUAACACAAUAAGUGAUCCACCUGGGGAGUACGGCCGCAAGGUUGAAACUCAAAUGAAUUGACGGGG